AUAUCAGUAAGGUACGGCAACAUCGACCUACGUCUAACCGAGGAGGUCUUUGCCAUAAAGUACAACUUUCACCCGCUCUACAUUCCCAACACACCUAAUCACGACGUCGGCAUACUGCUGCUAGAGCAUCCUUUGGAGUACUCCUCUCAAGUACGGCCAGUGUGCCUCCCUAAAGCAUCGUUUGAUGUCACGGGGAGAAAGCUGUUCUUGCCGUCGUGGGUAAGACAUCCUCAAGGGAUACUGGGGUGGCCCGAGCACCAUCAGGAUGAUUGACGGACGCCACCUGCAAGUCGGUAUCGCCUCGCAGUUCUUCGACGAUCAACUUGUAGGAAGUCGCGUCUUCGCUCGCGUGGAUGCGCUCAUGCCCUGGAUAAUACAGAACAUCGAAAAUAGCAACGGAUACACGAGACUCUCGUCAGGCCGGCCCCGGCCACUCAACGAUGUUGCGGUGCCCUCGUAUCUCUUUUCGUCGGCCCCCCUGCCCACCGCGCCCGUCGUGCCUGUCACCCCGUUCGU
rnacentral:lncRNA from 1 species